rnacentral:rRNA from 1 species
CAGCAGCCGCGGGAAUACCGAGGGUGCGAGCGUUAAUCGGAUUUACUGGGCGUAAAGCGUGCGUAGGCGGCUUCUUAAGUCGGAUGUGAAAUCCCUGAGCUUAACUUAGGAAUUGCAUUCGAUACUGGGAAGCUAGAGUAUGGGAGAGGAUGGUAGAAUUCCAGGUGUAGCGGUGAAAUGCGUAGAGAUCUGGAGGAAUACCGAUGGCGAAGGCAGCCAUCUGGCCUAAUACUGACGCUGAGGUACGAAAGCAUGGGGAGCAAACAGGAUUAGAUACCCGCGUAGUCCCUGUCUCUUAUAC